rnacentral:rRNA from 13 species
CUAGGCAGUAGAAGGCGAUGAAGGACGUAGUAGUCUGCGAUAAGCCACGGUGAGUUGACAACAAGCAUUGACCCGUGGAUGUCCGAAUGGGGAAACCCAAUCUGUUUACAGAUUAUCGUUUAUUGAAUUCAUAGGUAAACGAAGCAAACCUGGUGAACUGAAACAUCUAAGUAACCAGAGGAAGAGAAAUCAAUUUGAGAUUCCGCUAGUAGUGGCGAGCGAACGCGGAUCAGCCCAAUGACCACAAGCGUUAAUUGUAUAGAAGAAGGCUCUGGGAAGAGCCGCCAUAGAAGGUGAUAGUCCUGUAUUUAAAAUACAGCUAACGUGGGGUCAUGAAGAGUAGGUCGGGACACGUG